AGAGUUUGAUCAUGGCUCAGAGUGAACGCUGGCGGCAGGCCUAACACAUGCAAGUCGAACGGCAGCAUGAGAGAGCUUGCUCUCUUGAUGGCGAGUGGCGGACGGGUGAGGAACACAUCGGAAUCUGCCCAGUCGUGGGGGAUAACGUAGGGAAACUUACGCUAAUACCGCAUACGACCUACGGGUGAAAGCAGGGGAUCUUCGGACCUUGCGCGAUUGGAUGAGCCGAUGUCGGAUUAGCUAGUUGGCGGGGUAAAGGCCCACCAAGGCGACGAUCCGUAGCUGGUCUGAGAGGAUGAUCAGCCACACUGGAACUGAGACACGGUCCAGACUCCUACGGGAGGCAGCAGUGGGGAAUAUUGGACAAUGGGCGCAAGCCUGAUCCAGCCAUGCCGCGUGGGUGAAGAAGGCCUUCGGGUUGUAAAGCCCUUUUGUUGGGAAAGAAAAGCGAUCGGUUAAUACCCGGUUGUUCUGACGGUACCCAAAGAAUAAGCACCGGCUAACUUCGUGCCAGCAGCCGCGGUAAUACGAAGGGUGCAAGCGUUACUCGGAAUUACUGGGCGUAAAGCGUGCGUAGGUGGUGGUUUAAGUCUGCUGUGAAA
rnacentral:rRNA from 1 species